AGAAUCAACGCUGGCGGCGUGCCUAACACAUGCAAGUCGAACGAGAAAGUGGAGCAAUCCAUGAGUAAAGUGGCGACCGGGUGAGUAACACGUGACUACCUACCCUUGAGUGGGGGAUAACCUCGGGAAAACCGAGGCUAAUACCGCAUAAUAUCGAAAGAUCAAAGGAGUAAUCCGCUUUUGGAGGGGUCGCGGCUGAUUAGCUAGUUGGUAGGGUAAUGGCCUACCAAGGCGAAGAUCGGUAUCCGGCCUGAGAGGGCGCACGGACACACUGGAACUGAAACACGGUCCAGACUCCUACGGGAGGCAGCAGUGGGGAAUUUGCGCAAUGGGGGAAACCCUGACGCAGCAACGCCGCGUGGAGGAUGAAGCCCCUUGGGGUGUAAACUCCUUUCGACCGGGAAAAUAAUGAUGGUACCGGUGGAAGAAGCACCGGCUAACUCUGCGCCAGCAGCCGC
rnacentral:rRNA from 1 species